rnacentral:rRNA from 1 species
UACGUAGGGGGCAAGCGUUGUCCGGAUUUAUUGGGCGUAAAGAGCUCGUAGGCGGUUCCGUAAGUCGUGAAGUCAAAUCUCUGGGCUCAACCCAGAAUCGCUUCCGAUACUGCGGUGACUGGAGUCCGGUAGGGGAGUGUGGAAUUCCUGGUGUAGCAGUGAAAUGCGUAGAUAUCAGGAGGAACACCGGUGGCGAAGGCGGCCACCUGGACGGUAACUGACGCUGAGACGCGAAAGCGUGGGGAGCAAACAGG